AGUGGACGCUGGCGGUAGGCCUAACACAUGCAAGUCGAACGGCAGCACAGGAGAGCUUGCUCUCUGGGUGGCGAGUGGCGGACGGGUGAGGAAUACAUCGGAAUCUACUUUUUCGUGGGGGAUAACGUAGGGAAACUUACGCUAAUACCGCAUACGACCUACGGGUGAAAGCAGGGGACCUUCGGGCCUUGCGCGAUUGAAUGAGCCGAUGUCGGAUUAGCUAGUUGGCGGGGUAAAGGCCCACCAAGGCGACGAUCCGUAGCUGGUCUGAGAGGAUGAUCAGCCACACUGGAACUGAGACACGGUCCAGACUCCUACGGGAGGCAGCAGUGGGGAAUAUUGGACAAUGGGCGCAAGCCUGAUCCAGCCAUACCGCGUGGGUGAAGAAGGCCUUCGGGUUGUAAAGCCCUUCUGUUGGGAAGGAAAUCCAGCUGGCUAAUACCCGGUUGGGAUGACGGUACCCAAAGAAUAAGCACCGGCUAACUUCGUGCCAGCAGCCGCCGUAA
rnacentral:rRNA from 1 species